rnacentral:rRNA from 1 species
CCAAUAGCGUAUAUUAAAGUUGUUGCAGUUAAAAAGCUCGUAGUUGAAUUUCGGGGUCAGUAGGUUGGUCGUGCCACUGGUAUGUACUGGCCUUACUGGUCCCUCCUUCUUGUAGAACCGUAAUGCCAUUAAGUUGGUGUUGCGGGGAAACAGGACUGUUACUUUGAAAACAUUAGAGUGUUUAAAGCAGGCUAACGCUUGAAUACAUUAGCAUGGAAUAAUGAAAUAGGACGAGCGAUCCUAUUUUGUUGGUUUCUAGGAUUGACGUAAUGAUUAAUAGGGCUAGUUGGGGGCAUUAGUAUUCAAUUGUCAGAGGUGAAAUUCUUGGAUUUAUUGAAGACUAACUACUGCGAAAGCAUUUGCCAAGGAUGUUUUCAUUAAUCAAGAACGAAAGUUAGGGGAUCGAAGACGAUCAGAUACCGUCGUAGUCUUAACCAUAAACUAUGCCGACUAGGGAUCGGAUGAUGUUAAUUUUAUAAUGACUCAUUCGGCGCCUUACG